GGGUCAGUGAGCGGAAUUGGUAACGCAGCGGACUGUAAAUCCGUGGCUUUCGAGCAUUGUUGGUUCAAGUCCAACCUGGCCCACCA
rnacentral:tRNA from 1 species